GCUAUUUAUUGCACACGUCUCUUCACAAUAUCAUAGUAAAUGCACUUACACACACUCCCCUCACUCUCCGUCGACGAUGUAGAUCUCCGCUGAAUCUCACCGACAUUCGAGGCGAGCAUUGCUCCCAACCACUCUCCUCACUCAGAUCUUCGACCUCACCGGAUAACUUCCCGUCGGAAGCCUACGACGCCGGGGUGUCGCUUCUGGAGAAGUGGUGGAUCUACUGGAAGACGGAGUAGGCCUGAAUCUCCUUCGUCGAAGUGGAAAAUCCCUAACUAUAGUUAGGUUAACGGCGAAGGUGGUGGUGGUGGUGAUCCAUUUGAGGAGUUUAACCGGAAAAAGGAGAAGCAGCCAGUGACUGUGUCGGCGAGGAAGAUUGCUGCUGGACUUUGGCGGCUUCAGAUGCCGGAAGUAGCGGUGUCCGGUGACUGUGGAUCUCGUGGUGGUUUGAGACUUCAGAAACUUGUGUUAUCUUUGCGCUUAUCCAGACGUUGUAAAGUUCUUAUCCAGGCGUUGUAAAGUUCUUAUCCAGCCUUCCUCUCUCCCUUCUCCAGAUUCAGAUUCACGAAUCACUGCAAACGCGCGAUGUAUGGUGUUUUGAGAUAUUAGAUAAAAAAUAUCUAUCAAGAAGCGGAUGUCGGAUUUAUUUCUGCAAGAUAUUUACAAUAAUCUUACUAAAACUUUAUUAUUGUCGGUCAACACAUCUGGUUGAACAAGUUAUAGAAUAUGGAGAAGAGAAAUACUGGUAUCCCAUCCUAUGAAAUUGACUCUCCCCCACCUCUCCCUCACCUCUGUAUCAGAUACUAUCCUCUCCCUCAUCUUUGUAUGAGAUACCACCAUUCAUCUCUGUAUCAGAUACCACCAUGGUGUUCAAAAGAAGUAUCAUGUCUUCUUUGUCACAGUUAAAAUAAAUUCAUGUUCGGCCAACAACUUCAUUAUCUUCCAAAGCAUUCUCCCAACUAUCUUCCAAAACAUUCUUCCAACUAUCUUCCAAACAACAUGUUGAUUGGAGGAAGGAAGGAGCAGUUAUCUUCCAUAUUGUUUAGUACAUAACUAUAAAUGUUGUGAUGGAGGUAUCCAAGUAAGUUUACUAUACGCCUUUCUACCUAAAGGAUUCUUCUUGGAGGGAGGAAGAGGAAGGAAGCACCAGUUAGCGAGGUUAAACCUCUUUCUACAUAAGGCAUUUUUUCUUGAAUCUUCUAAAACAUGUUUAUUGGAGGGAGGAAGAAGCAGUUAGCGAGGUUAAAGACCAACUAAUAACAGCACAAGAGACGAUAUUCCAGAGGUAAACUUUUCUUCGCUGGUUGUUUAGUCCCAGAUGUGCUAACAUUUAUUAAAAAGAAAGGGUUACUUAUAAAUAUAAGAUUAGUGGACGAAGAAAUCAUUCAACAGAGGGUUGCCAAAGCUUCAACUCGAAAUCUUGGCCAUAGUCUGGAAAAAAGGACAGAGUGUACGUAGAUUUCGGGAAACCUUUACCGAAUAAAUUCAACCCAUUCGUUGAUCACGCAGUAUUAAUAAUAGGAUAUGGGGAGGAAAAUGGAGAAAAAUACUGGGUUAUAAAGAACUCCUAUGGAAAGGGAUUUGGCAACAAAGGAUACGUGAAAAUCCCAUCAUAUUAUGCUCGGCCAAUGACUUCAUUAUCUUCCAACUCAUUCUCCCAACUAUCUUCCAAAACAUUCUUCCAAACAACCCGUUCGCAGUAUCACACGCCUUUCUACUUAAAGCAUUCUUCCUUGAAUCUUCCAUACAUGUUGAUUGGAGGGAGGAAGGAGCAGUUAGCGAGGUUAAACCUUUCUACAUAAAGCAUUUUCCUUGAAUCUUCCAAAAGAAGCAGUUAGCGAGUUCCUUGCGUGAUUGAUAAAAAUUAAAACUGGAAAGUUGGAGCCAUUGUCGGUUCAACACUUGCUAGAAAUGAUGCUAAAGCACAAGAGACGGAAAUGGAGACGGAGAUGUGCUAACAUUUAUUAAAAAGAAAGGGGUUACUUAUAAAUAUAAGAUUAGUGGAUGAAGAAAAUUAUACAUCGGAUUGCCAAACAGCCCGUCAUUGCUUCAACUCGAAAUCUUGGCCAUAGGCUGGAAACUGGACAGAGUGACUUCGUGGCCAAUGAGAAAUGGUUGUGUUUCUCUGUUGGCAGAGGUUGUUUGAUAUAUGUUUGUAUUCGUUCUGGUGGUUGAGGUUUUUUUGGAUACAUUUGUGUUGGCAGAGGUUUUUUUGGAUACAUUUGUCAGAGAUUGUUGGAUAUAUGUUCGUGGCAUCGGUUGGCUAAGGAGUAAAUAUGACUAUAUCUUGCAUAGCAUAGUUAUGACUAUAUCUUGCAUAGUUAUUUCCUUUUAUAGUUGUAUAACAAAAAUAUUGUAUAUUAGUGUUGAUAAAAGUGUGAACAUGAACAUGUUAUUAAAAUUGGUAUAAGUUGAUCAAUAGUUAUGGUUUAUGGGAUA